GGGACGAACGCUGGCGGCGUGCUUAACACAUGCAAGUCGGGCGGUAAGGCCUUUCGGGGUACACGAGCGGCGAACGGGUGAGUAACACGUGGGUGAUCUGCCCUGCACUCUGGGAUAAGCCUGGGAAACUGGGUCUAAUACCGGAUAUGACCUGCUCUCGCAUGGGGGGUGGGUGGAAAGAUUUAUCGGUGCAGGGAUGGGCCCGCGGCCUAUCAGCUUGUUGGUGGGGUAAUGGCCUACCAAGGCGACGACGGGUAGCCGACCUGAGAGGAUGAUCAGCCACACUGGGACUGAGACACGGCCCAGACUCCGUACGGGAGCAGCAGUGGGAAUAGUGGACAAUGGGCGAAAGCCUAGAUCCAGCAAUGCCGCGUGAGUGAUGGAAGGUCGUUAGGGUUGUAAAGCUUCGUUUACCGGAUAG
rnacentral:rRNA from 1 species